GAUGGAAGUUAUGAAAAACUCAUCAAACCCCAACAUGCAUGAUUGACUCGACUCGAGUUUAUUUAUGAAUUUUUAUAGAAACUUAUUUUCAGUAUUCACAUUUACUUUGGCCAAAUAUUUCUUGAACUCAGUCUUGUAAAUCGCAUAGGGCUAUUCUUUUUCUACUAAGAUCGAUAGAUUUCAUCUAGUGUAUUUUAUUUCUAACAGUGAACCUGAAUCUACUGUAGUCAAUAUAUACCGCAAGGAUCCGAAUGGUUAGGAGAUCAAAUGUAUGUGCAGUCAAACUAUAGUAACCUCAUUGCAAAUAGCCGAGGCACCGUAGAUCAAAGGACCACUCACACAACUGCAGCAUCG
rnacentral:lncRNA from 1 species